ACAACACCAACAACACAACGAAACAAUGACAACAACAAGAUGACUUUGCAGACCAAGGACAAUGAGAGCGAGAUCUGAGCAUAAGAGAACUAAUAAUUGACAUUAUCAUUGUUUUAUUUUAUUUAUCAAAUAAAUAGGAAUCACUGAAGAUUGAAGAAUAUCUCAACAAAAUAAUUUGUUAACAAAUUUGGUUACUUCAAUUUCUAAAAUCAAGUACAAAUUUCAAGUCUAGUCCAAUUCGAGUAAACUCACCCAAAUCCUAUAAGUAUGAGGCUUGAUAGAGUUAUAAAAAGCAACCUUUUUUGGGGAAUAGGGAACUAACCC
rnacentral:lncRNA from 1 species